UUUUCUUCUCCAUCUAAGAUUUUCUUCAAACAAAAAUAAAACCCACCCAUGAAUUUUUUUAAAUCAAAACGGGUUCUUGCACACACAAUCAAACUCAUCUUCAAAUAAAAAUUCAUACUCAACCCAAAUCACUCAAUAACCCAUUUUAUUCUCAUUCAAUUCAUCAAUCCAAUUGGGUAAAAAUUAGAACUCAACAAUGGCUAUAAAUAGCCAUGUUCAUUCCCCCAAACCACCACUCACCAUUCACAACUUCACUUAUACCCUUGCCGCAAAUCGUCCCCAUUUCUGCCGGAAAACGCCACCCUCAAUCCCCUGUUUUUUUUCGCAUUCUCUCUCUCCCCUCUGUCUUUGUUUAGACACUGCAGCACCACCACCCUGCACCGGAAACCACCGUCCCCCAUCACCACUAUCACCUGGUACCGCCGUCUGCCUAUGUGCGAACCGACAACCACCGCACGCCAAACCCAGCCGCACUUCUCUCUCUCACGCAGCCUCUCCUCCCUUUCGCCCAGUUCUUUUCCUCUCUCUGUCCUCAGCUGCAAUCUCGCCGGAAUCCUUCCCGGUGCGCCGCCUAAUGAUGCCACCACCUUGCCUCGCCUCGCCGUUUCAGUCGCCGGAGCUUCAUGCCCCUGCUCUCUGGUUCGACGUUGUUGGUUGAAGCAGAGAUUAAACGGAAAGGAUAUUACAGCUUCCCCCGGCUUUCAAGGUUAUUAAGCAGGAAUCCAGGUAUGAGCAUAGCCAUUGCAAGGGUGUUGUUAAUAAGGAACGUGUUCAAGGGAAAGUGUGCAGUAUCUUGUGUUAGAGAAAUUAUUAUUAUUUGAGUCAAGUAUUUAUGUAUAAUUAUCAAGGACUAUUUAGGGUUGCAUUGUAUAUAUUAGUGGGCCAUAUCCCACAGGCUUAAAUUCCAUUUCCGCUGCUAA